UAUAACUCGUGAGUGGCCGGUGGAUGGGGAGGGGUCGCGCAGAGAGGGCCAUGCAAAGGGCCUUUUAGGGACACACACAUGCGCAGGGACACGCGCGGUGGCGCUCACUCGAGGGCUGUAGCACACAGUAGGAUGCUGGUCUCUCACCAGCGGACGGAAGAUGCAGCCCAAGUGCACGCGGGGAACUCGCAGCUGCCCCGCAGGAGCGCAGCGCGGCCCCAGGCUCCAGUGUUAGCUCAGAUAACCCACAGAUAACCGCCGGGCACGCACACGAGCUCACACACAGGCGGUUCUACUCACUACAGUGUCCGUUUCAUGGGGCGGGGAGGGGAUUUGUGGCUAUUUGUUCCCUGCCCUAACACACUGGGGACGUCAGAAUGUGUCGAGUGAACCGCCAUUUGGGGACAUUCAGGGACGCAGUGCACAGACGCGGGCAGCUCGGAGCGCAGUCCAGGAGCCCAGGCUGCACCGCAAGCACCGUGUGGACGCUCGCCCACGCGCGCGCUGGCACUCAGCUCCCGCAGGAGCCCCACUGGCUGCCCUGACAACUGCGUGUCCUCAUUUGCCCCCUCUGAGGUGGCCCUCCCAAACCAGGGCAGAUCUUUUUAAACGGCAGAGGGCACUGGGACCCCCAGGCCCGGAUCCUCCCUCCUCCGAUGCCUUCCUCUGAGAUGUUGGAGAGUUUGAAUUUUUUUUUUUUUUAGUUCAACUUUCCUUUUUUGGAGCGCAUCUCAGCAGAUUCAGUUCUGCCAUCUGCCAACAUCUGAGAACCCCCCGGGGAGUGCGGAAUGGCUGCGGCGGGGAGGCGGCCACGUGAUUUCCAGGGUCCUGGCCGUGCUCCCACCUCCUGCCAGCAGGCAAGGGUUACCUGCCUCCCCUGUGGCAAUCCGUCCCUCCCCACGCCCUCAGGCUGCUAGUGUUCUUGGGGAGGGCAGAGCACCCGGGGCUGACAAGAUCUGAUAAAGAGAAGUGUGUGUGGAGCUAGGAGCAGUUUGCAGCUUGGAACAGGACGUGCCUACUGCGUGCCAGGCUCUGUGGAACUGGGCAGAGCAGGAGAACAGCCCCGCCCUCGGGAACGGGCACCCCGUGGGGAGCUGACACUCAAAAUGUGAAGUCAUGUUAACACCUGUGUGCGAAAAGCCCUUCGAAGACAUACCCUGGCGUCCAAAGAGAAGGUGAAUUUCAGGACACGGGAUGAGGGAGGGGACAGAGUUCCCUGCCUCUCUGUCUCGCCCUGCCUGGGAGUCCGGAGACCCCUUCCGGGUGUCUCUCAGAGCCCCCCAGCCACCCUCGCCCCUGCCCCAAGAAACUGCACUGUCACCCCGGCUUCCUCUGAUGUCGGCGCCUUUAUUUAUGACACUGUGUGCACUUCAGAAAGAAGGAAGCAGGGACCAAGAUCAGACCCCUGUCGGAUAGGCUUGAUUAUCUCUGAAGAUAAACAACUCACUUUCUCCCACGGCUGCACCUCUGGGGUGUUCUCCCGCCCGCCCGUGGGCUUCUGCUCAAGUCUUCGCUCUCAGGCUCUGGCGAGAUGGGAACAGAGAGGUGAAUAGUGACGGGGAGACACCCAGUGCGGACGGCGGCCAGUGGAGUGUCCGCGCCGCUCCUGGGCUGUCCUCCAGGGCAGCAGUGGCAGCUGUGGAGCGGCCGAGAACGGGCUGUGCGUUCCGAUGAGGGCAGAGCUCCAAGUUACAUUGUUCGGCAGGAAGGAGCAGGUGCAGAGCCGUCUGCGUGGUGUGCUUGGACAUCUGGUUUUGGACAUCCCUGCGUGCGCUUCUGGAUUUUUUCUUGCGAUCCAAGGAGGCUUCCUUUCUGGCAUCUUUGCACCACAUUUGCUGUUUCUCAGCCUCCCAGAGAAUGUCAGGAAUUAGCCCCUGGGUGGCCUGACCUCCCCGUGGGGCCUGGGGAGCCAGCGGAAGCCCAGCUCUCCCAGGGCGGUGGCCUGUGCAGACUACGAGGCUGGGAGAAGCCACAUUGCAGCGGCUACGGCACCUGGUUCUCAGGGCACCUGGCCCGAACCGCCCUGCACACGGGCCCAGAGCUCAGGCCCCUGGUCCGGGCGAGAUCAGAACCCUUGGGCCUGUCCAUGGCCGGCGACACCUGCAGUCUUGGAGUUAAGCGUGUGUCUGUCCCUCCUCGGUCCCUUCGAGCUUCUGCCCAACAGAGCCAAUAAUAAUUCUCACUUUGAAAACAUCGAUACGGCUAGUUCCCCUGGCUCAGAAGGGCCCUCCAGCCUCCCGGCCCCGUCGGGAACCACAGAAAGCCCAGCACUGCGUGUGCGAAGUGCACGGGGCUCUAAAACCCGGGGGUAGGGCCUGUCCAGCAAGCGAGAAGCAAGUUAAAAUGGAAAGAAUGCACAGCUUUGAGUCAGAUCUGGGUUCAGUUCCCAACUCUGACACCUUUCAGGCACUCCACAAACACGUAUUUAUUAGGCUGGCCCCGGGGCCCAGCAGCGCAUGGCACUCACAUGGAGCCAGCUCUCUGGCAGGCUAUGCCAUGGUCCCCUCCCCCGUCUCCUGGCUUGCCCCCUGCCCCAUGGCAGAAGCCGACUGGUGUGCUUUCCUGACUCCCUUGCAGCAAGCGUUCUGUAUGGAUUUCGGUUCCAGCAUCCAUGCGUAGUACCAGAUUCCUGAGCGAGUCCACAGGGUGGAGAGAGGGGCCAGCCGUGGGGCUGGGUGGGACAGCUUCUGGAACUGGCUGCCCGCCCAGGGCGGGGUGGCCAGUCCUGCAGUGUGUCUCUGAGUGUCGUGCCUGGACGCUCUGCUGCAGAGACAUCGGCCGCGGAGCACCCUGCAUGGAGUCCCUUCAACCCCCGGAGCCCACUCCCUUCCAUGCAAGAUUUAGGGAGUCACAAAUGAAAGAAGCAAAGAAAAAGAGAGCGUGGUUAGGAAUGGCGGUGAUCGCCACCCAGGAAGCAGCUGAGGGACAGAGAGAGCUGGAGGGCAGGAAGGAGACUGGAUGACCAGGGAGGGAGGGUCUCCCUAAGCGGGUGCCAUUUAAGAUGGCAGCCAAAGGUUCAGGAGGAGGCAGCCGGAAGGUGAGGGAACAGCAUUCAGGUGGAAGGAACAGCAGAUGCAAAGACCGUACCGCAGGAAGUGACUCGGCGUGUUCAAAGGCUGGACAGAAGACCAGUGUGGCUGGAGUGUGAGGCUGGGCAUCGGUUUUCCCCGUCUGUAAAAUGGGCUGGACCCCCUGCCCAGCCAACUUCACGGGGUGGUUGCAGGAAUUCAGUGAGCUAAGACAGCCAAUCACCCUUGAAAAUCCCAAAGAGCACUUCAACAUCGUAAGGAGUAUUUUUCAAAAGCUCUUUCUAUAAUGGGCCCUGGGCCAGCUGAUCACGUCGCAGGGGUGACCGAUCUAGACAGGCUGCAGCAUGAUGGUUAGGUGCACACACCCUGGGGCC